rnacentral:lncRNA from 1 species
AGCAACUGCUUAGCACAUCCACAGAAAUUCUAAUAAGUGACGUUCCUAUGAAGUAUUAAAAGGCAGCAAUAUCCUUCUGUUCCCCCAGUGAGGUAGAACAAUUAACCUUCUUAACACGCCACUCUGGUGCAGAUAUGGAUUUUUACAGUUUUUUUGUUGUGGUUUUUGGUUGCAAAUCCAGGAUUACAUCUUUAUCCCCUCCUGUUGACUAAGUUGUGAUAGUGUUUUCUUAAUACGCAAAGCUGUUAGCCUAGCAGCUCCGUUGGCAUACCAGCAUUCCCGCAUGAUUUUUGCCAUUACUCGUAAUGCCUCACAGCUCUGCCAUCUGUUUGGGAUAUUGGGCCUUAACUUCUGCUCACAAACAACUUUUUUCAUUUCUUCAACAGAAGGAUCUGAAGGAACUAGGUCAUAAUAUGGCAACUGGUAAUCUUCAUGGAUUCCACCAAUAGAACAUCGACGAGCAAUUUCCCAAAAUACUAAUCCCAUUGCAUAGAUGUCUGCUCGUUUGAAUGACUCAAAAUGUUUCAUAUUUAUGGAAUCAUCUAAAACUUCAGGUGCCAUGUACCUUUUUGUUCCUACUCUGUGGUUGGGGGCAAUGUCAAUUGUGUCUGUAGCUGAAUCAUGCCUAACUGCCAACCCCAGGUCUGCAAUGCAGCAUGUUCCAUUCUUCUUUACCAAUAUGUUUUUUGAUUUCAAAUCUCUGUGGGCAAUUGCUGGUUUGCCUUGUGUGCCUACAAUUUCCAUGUGAAGAUGAGCAAGGCCACUGGCAGUAGACAAAGCUAAUUUUAUCAUUCCUUCUACGGUUACUGUAUACCUGUUCAGGUAAUCAAAGAGUGACCCAUGUUCGUGAUAAUCUGACACCAACCACAGCUGCGUCCAUGUACCAUUGUCUUUGUUGUCCGCAGCUAUGAAUCCAAGAAUGUUUUCAUGUCGUAGCAUAACUGUUUGAUAAAUUUCUGCCUCUCGAAACCAUGAGCGCUCUUCUCUUGAAGAGAAGAUCUUCACAGCAACUUCUUCUCCUCUCCAUUUCCCCCUCCAUACUUCUCCAAAGCGACCCUUACCAAUACUUUCUUGGAGUACUAUAGUUCGUGCAAUUGUUCUUUGCACAAGUAAAGGUAAACCUGAUCCAGAGCCUGAAGUUGUCAUAUCAUAAAUUAAAUCCUUCAAAGUAGUUCCUUCAGAUAUAAAGGGACGAUCCAAUGAAGGAUCU